GAUUCUGUCUCGCUAGCUUGGCUGCUCGAGGCGCCUUGGAUUCUUCCGCUUUUUAGGGCACUCUCGAUGCGUUCUCCAAUUGUCACUAAGUGGGCGAAGUCUGAUAACGCAUUGCCUACCAUCCUUUCAAAGUAAGGACUCUGCAAGUUAUCCAUAAACAAGUCAAUCAAUUCCUUAUCCAAGAGUGGUGGUUGCACUUGG
rnacentral:lncRNA from 1 species